rnacentral:lncRNA from 1 species
GAAAAAAAUAAAUUUUCGGGCGAAGAGAUCAAAAUAAACAUGAAACUCUUAACUUUCUUAUUUAGAAAUAAAAUUCUAAAUUUGUAUGAAAUUUUUAGAGACAGAAUUAAACAUAGAUUAACUUAUGAUUGUAAGUGACUACUAAAGUACAAGGUUUCUCGACCCAAUUUGAGAGAGAACCAAUGGACCAUGCGUCUUUAAUUAGCUUACAACAACUAUUAUCUAACUCCUGAAUGACACAAUCAAAAGGAUCGCCUUAACACCUCUUCAUGCUACCAGGAGCUAUGCUGGAACUUGAAACAUCAUGGCUAGUGUUAAGCGCGAAACCCAUGACGAACCAAAUGUCCUCAGUCUAAUAGUAGCAAAAACAAUGAAACUUUGUAUGAUGCUUCCAGAUCAUCAGUGAAAUUGCUUGAAAGUCAGCUCACACCUACACACAUGCACAAUCAUUAUGCAUGUCUAAAUUAUUUACACUCAAGCUAACCAAAUCAACAAUAUUGAAAUCCUAUACUAUUUGAAACAUACCAUUCUUAUUAUUAUCAACAUCAACUGUGGUACCCUUGCUAACCAGUCCCGUAAAAGCCUCAAUCCGGCAACUCUAAUCAAUGCAAAAAAUAGGUUUCCUUACCCAUAAUUAAAUACAAAGAAAAAUACUAAAAUUUUAAAACAUGUAUAAUCUAAUAGCAUCAGUAAGAACGGCUACUGCAUUACAUACCAUCUCCAUAGCACAUUAUGCUGUCAUGACGCUCUGGUUAAGCCUAAGACACACAAAAUUUUAGUUCUUAGAUCCAGACUGAUAAGAUAUCAGCUUUAAUAGAUGUUUUGGAUAAUACAAUUAUGAGAAAUGAGACUGAGGGCACGUCGAGUAUCCCAAUACAUAGUAGAUAGUGAUGUGAUUUUAAUGAAAAAUAAUAUAGCAAGUACUCAAUUUUGACCAUGGAUGAAUUGUAUAAUACAUGAAUAGAUGAUUAAGGGGUUGGGGCAUGACAAGUAUAUUGAUACUUAGUAGAGUGUUUCUUGGUUAAUGAAUUGUAGUAAAAAUUAUAUGAAAUUGCAUGAAUUGGAUAAUCAUAGACACCCAACUGGUCAUACACAUUGUAAUGAACAAAAUCAAAUAAUUAUAAAAAUUUACUUAUGAUGAAAGUAAACCAAUCACUAUACCUCAUAAAUUUGAAGUCAAGUUGUAAAUCAAUGAAUAAUUUUAUCUUUCCGAAGCCUUCCAUUCCAUCUCCUAUAUGUUGGAUUUGAAAUAAUCCAAUUUGUUCAAGGAACAAACAUCAAAUCUAAAAAUGUGAGUUACAUAUCAUACCUAAAUAACUUUUCACUAGAAGAAGAGAUAAAACUUAUAUCGCAUACCUAAUUCCGCAAUGUGAUUGUCAUUCGUUUCUUCUUCCAUUCAAAAGAGCAAAUAAAUUAUUUAGCCCCAAGUACGAAGCACACCAGCGACAAUGUUUGAAUGGAGAAAGCGUUCUUUGAUGAAUAUGAAUUAGGAGAUGGGUAUUUAUAUAAAAUUAAAUUCUAUUUUAAGAUUUCAAUCCUUGUUAAAUAUUGUAAUAAGCACUAAAUUCGUGAAUAAAUUUUAUAUUUGAAAUUUUCUAAACAUUGAUGUGAGCGUUUCAAAUUUAUUAUUUAUGAAAUUGCUGAAAUAUUGUUAAUGAUCAAAGUACAAGGUUUCUCAAACCAAAUUAAGAGAGAACGAUAUAUAUUGUUUUUAAUUAAUUAAGAUAACACAACCUAAAUUAGAAAAAUAAAUAAAUGUGUUCACAAAUUGUUGCAACUAGAUCAAAUCGGAAACCUUUUUUUCGUCAAUAAACUAUUUCUCUUGGUGUGUUUUCCUUUACUUGUUUGGGACGGCGAGCUUGUGAGUGUUUGGUUGCAUGUUGCUUGCUCUGAAUUCUCUAUAUAGUUUGCCUUGCUAGGUCAUAUUUUGAAGCAAUAGUUUUCUAUAAUAUACAUACAACCAUUUAGAUAAAAAAAUAAACGUCAAUAUAUUAUUUUACCUAAUGAGCUACAUUACUUAGAUAGAAUCAUAUAUCUCAUUUUAUAUUAUACCAUUGUUCUUUAUAUUUUUUAAAGGUGUACUCUAUGCGCGCCGAUAAAAAAAGUGUCACACAUAAAAUAAUAAUAAAAAUAAAAGGAGAAAAUUGAAAAACUUGAAAAAUAAUAUAAAAGUUAUUUCUCACUCUAUACUGUCACACCUUCCAGCGGAUUACUCUCUCGCCGCGCAUAUUUUUUGGAAAUUUAUGGCACAACCAUCCUCGCUGGAAAUUUCCUCUAACGACUUCCCCACCACUUCCGACAACAUAAAAGUUGAAAUAAAACCCACAAUACAUUUGUAAAAGCCAAAACCAUCAAGAUGUACUUAAUCUUGCUCACCUUCUUAUCCAGUGUGUAAGACUGUAAAACAAAAGUAGCCACAAUCAACUUGGCUUUCCUCGAAACGGCACUCAAUGCAUGAUACAUGGACCUCAGCCGGGCUAGGAAAAGCUCCGCGGGCCAGAUGAAAGUAGUCGAAUUCGGCCCAAAGUUCCCAAAGACGAACCAAAGAUCAGAUAACACGGUGAACAAUCUCUUGUUAUCAUGCCACAAAUACUCGUACUUAAUCCAUAAUCAACAAAAACGUCAAUAUCAUGAAAACUCCCAUUAACUGAAUCACGAAUUAAACCAACUUCUCGAUGAACGCGAUUUUUAACUAACAUCCGGGGAAAGUCUCUAAUAAUGCAAUGACGAACAUGGCGCAUUAGGAGAUCAAUAGAGGAAACAUGACAAGAAAAUUAUGGGAUGUUUUGAACAACUCAAAAGAGGUUCUCAACAUUGUUUAGCCACAUAAGGAAUUUGGUCGUACAAUUUCUGCUAAAUUUAGUUCUUCAAUAAAUUAUGAGUAGAAAAAUGAAACUUAUUAAAAGUCUUGUGGAUUUGGAAUACCUUCGAAGUCCAGGUGCAGAAGACAACUUGUCUGGUAACUGACAAUGGUUUAUUGGGAGUCCUACCAAUAACAGACCAAUGGAAAAUUUAAAUGUCUAGUCAGGGAAUGAAAAACAACCGUUGCUAAGAAAGAUUGCGAUAGUGAAGAACUCAAAUCUAUAAACUUAAAUGGUAUACGUAACAUAGUGGAACAAGUAUGAAGCAAAUGAAGAAAAUUAGGAUUUUAAUGGGAGGAAUGAGGAAAGAAUAGUGUUUGCUGUUAUAUCUCUGUUGUUACAUUCCCUUAUUUUUCAUCCACAUCACCGUGCUUCUACGCUAACAACAGCUCAACAAUGAGUUCGAUUGUUGAGGAUCUACUGAAUUUUGGGGUUCAGAUCGAGUGGACAAUGGUGAAUCAAGCAACAGCAUGUAAUUUUUUGUUGUUGCCAUUUAUCAACAUGUGAAGAGACAACCAUGCAAAAUUGACUUUGAUUUUUUGUGGGGUUUUUUUCCAGUUCUACUGUAGAAAGAUGUACUUAAAGAACACAACACAAAUCUACGAAUUGGGGUUGUUUAAUACAAAACUCAGAAUUCGAUACGGGGAAGGAUUUUCUAUUUCAUUUCUUCUUUUUUUGCUCAUUUGAUUCAUUAAGGAUGUUAUUCACUCCAUUUAUCAGUUUGCAAAACGUGUACCAUUCUUAAAAAUCGAGUACAUGUCAAAAACCUAAUACAACACAUUGUAACGUAAAGAUUUGAAAAACAUAAUUCCAACAAAGAUGGUCUAGUGGGCGAAUUUUGGUGUAACGAAAGAUUUCAAAAACAUAAUUCCAAUAAAGAUGGUCUAGUGGGCGAAUUUUGUUUUUGGAAUCCUAACUCUAGUGAGUGGAAAAAACUUGCUUGAAAAAUUCAGCUCGACAUAAAUGGUUUGGCCAAUGGAGUUUCUAUUUGAUCAUAAAAAAGUUUGCAUUUGCUCCUUUUAAGACAAGGGUAUUGAGUAGAAAUUUAAUUGAAAAGAUAUGGAUAUUAUAUUCUUGUUAGAGAUGGAUUUAUAUUUUCAUAUGAAAAAAAUAAAUUUUCGGGCGAAGAGAUCAAAAUAAACAUGAAACUCUUUAACUUUCUUAUUUAGAAAUAAAAUUCUAAAUUUGUAUGAAAUUUUCAGAGACAGAAUUAAACAUAGAUCAACUUAUGAUUGUAAGUGACUACUAAAGUACAAGGUUUCUCGANNNNNNNNNNNNNNNNNNNNNNNNNNNNNNNNNNNNNNNNNNNNNNNNNNNNNNNNNNNNNNNNNNNNNNNNNNNNNNNNNNNNNNNNNNNNNNNNNNNNNNNNNNNNNNNNNNNNNNNNNNNNNNNNNNNNNNNNNNNNNNNNNNNNNNNNNNNNNNNNNNNNNNNNNNNNNNNNNNNNNNNNNNNNNNNNNNNNNNNNNNNNNNNNNNNNNNNNNNNNNUAAUGUAGCCAAUACUCAAUUUUGACCAUGAAUGAAUUGUAUAAUACAUGAAUAGAUGAUUAAGGGGUUGGGGCAUGACAAGUGUAUUGAUACUUAGUAGAAUGUUUCUUGGUUAAUGAAUUGUAGUAAAAAUUAUGUGAAAUUGCAUGAAUUGGAUAAUCAUAUACAACCAACUGGUCGUACACAUUGUAAUGAAAAAAAUCAAAUAAUUAUAAAAAUACUUAUGAUGAAAGUAAACCAAUCACUAUACCUUAUAAAUUUGAAGUCAAGUUGUAAAUCAAUGAUUAAUUUUAUAUUUCCGAAACCUUCCAUUCCAUCUCCUAUAUGUUGGAUUUAAAAUAAUCAAAUUUGUUCAAGGAACAAACAUUUUGUUCAAGGAACAAACAUCAAAUCUAAAAAUGUGAGUUACAUAUCAUACCUAAAUAACUUUUCACUAGAAGAAGAGAUAAAACUUAUAUCGCAUACCUAAUUCCGCAAUGUUAUUGUCAUUUGUUUCUUCUUCCAUUCAAAAGAGAAAAUAAAUUAUAUCUGCCCAACUACGAAGCACACCAGCGACAAAGUUUGAAUGGAGAAAGCUUUCUUUGAUGAAAAUGAAUUAGGAGAUGGGUAUUUAUAUAAAAUUAAAUUCUAUUUUAAGAUUUCAAUCCUUGUUAAAUAUUGUAAUAAGCACUAAAUUCGUGAAUAAAUUUUAUAUUUGAAAUUUUCUAAACAUUGAUGUGAGCGUUUCAAAUUUUUUAUUUAUNNNNNNNNNNNNNNNNNNNNNNNNNNNNNNNNNNNNNNNNNNNNNNNNNNNNNNNNNNNNNNNNNNNNNNNNNNNNNNNNNNNNNNNNAAUUAAGAUAGCACAACCUAAAUUAUAAAAAUAAUAAAUGUGUUCACAAAUUGUUGCAACUAGAUCAAAUUGGAAACCUUUUAAUCGUCAAUACACUAUUUCUCUUGGUGUGUUUUCCUUUACUUGUUUGGGACGGCAAGCUUGUGAGUGUUUGUUUGCAUGUUGCUUGCUCUAAAUUCUCUAUAUAGUUUGCCUUCCUAGGUCAUAUUUUGAAGCAGUAGUUUUCUUUAAUAUACAUACAACCAUUUAGAUAAAAAAAAUAAACGUCAAUAUAUUAUUUUACCGAAUGAGCUAAAUUACUUAGAUAGAAUCAUAUAUCUCAUUUUAUAUCAUACCAUUGUUCUUUAUAUUUUUUAAAGGUGUACUACCCUAUGCACGAUAAAAAAAUAAUAAAAAUAAAAGGAGAAAAUUUUAAAACUUUUAAAAUAAUAUAAAAGUUAUUUCUCACUCUAUACUGUCACCCUUUCCAGCGGAUCACUCUCUCGCCGCGCAUAUUUUUUUGGAAAUUUAUGGCACAACCAUCCUCACUGGAAAUUUCCUCCAACGACUUCCCCACCACUUCCGACAACAUAAAAGUUGAAAUAAAACCCACAAUACAUAUGUAAAAGCCAAAACCAUCAAGAUGUACUUAAUCCUGCUCACCUUCUUAUCCAAUGUGUAAGACUGCAAAACAAAAGCAGCCACAAUCAACCGACAUUCUUAUCCAAUGUAUAAGACUGCAAAACAAAAGCGGCCACAAUCAACCCGACUUUCCUCGCAACGGCAGUCAAUUCAUGACACGUGUACCUCAGCCGGGUCGGGAAACGCUCCGCAGGCCAUAUGAAAGUAGUCGAAUUGGGCCCAAAGUUCUCGAAAUAAGAACCCAAGUUCAUAUAACACAGUGAACAAUCCCUUGCUAUCAUGCCACAAAUACUCGUACCUAAUCCCCAUCAUCAGUCAAAACGCCAAUAUCAUGAAAUAUCCCAUUAACUGAAUCACGUAUUAAACCAACUUCUCGAUGAACGUGACUUUGAACUAAUAUCCGGGGAAAGUCUCUAAUAAUGCAACGAAGAACAUGGCGCAUGAGGAGAUCAACAGAGGAAACAUGACAAGAAAAUUAUGGGAUCUUUUGAACAACUCAAAAGAGGUUCUCAACAUUGUUUAACCACAUAAGAAGUUCGGUCAUAUAAUUUCUAAUGAAUUUAGUUAUUUAAUAAAUUAUUAGUAGAAAAAUUAAACUUGUUAAAAGACUUGUGGAUUUGGAAUACCUUCAAAGUCCAGGUGUAGAAGACAACUUGUCUGGUAACUGACAAUGGUUUAUUGGGAAUCCUACCAAUAAGAGACCAAUAGAAAAACAUAAAUGUCUAGCCAGGGAAAGAAAAACAAUCGUUGCUAAGUAAGAUUGAGAGAGUGAAGAACUCAAAUCUAUAUAAACUUAAAUGGUAUACGUAACAUAGUGGAACAAGUAUGAAGCAAAUAAAGAAAAUUAGGAUUUUGAUGGGAGGAAUGCAGGAAAGACUAGUGUUUGUUGUUAUAUCUCUAUUGUUACAUUCCCUUAUUUUUCAUCCACAUCACCGUGCUUCUACGGCAACAACAACUCAACAAUGAGUUCGAUUGUUGAGGGUUCCUCCGAAUUUUGGGUUUCAUUUUGAGUGGACAACGGUGAAUCAGGCAAUAACAUGAAGUUUUAUGUUGUUGGCAUUAUCAACAUGUGUAGAGACUACCUUGCAAAAUUGACUUUGAUUUUUUGUGGGGUCUUUUUUCCAGUUCUACUAUAGUAAGAUGUACUUAAUGAACACAACAUAACUCUAAGAAUCGGGGUUUUUAUUACAAAACUCAGAAUUCAGUAAGGGGAAGGCUUUUCUAUUUCGUUUCUUCUUUUUGUGCUCAUUUGAUUCAUUAAGGUUGUCGGUGACUCCAUUUAUCCAUUUGCAAAACGUGUAUCGUGCUUAAAAACCGAGUACAUGUCAAAAACCUAAUACAACACAUUGACAUGGUAAGAUUUCAAAAAAAUAAUCCCCACAAAGAUGUUCUAGUGGGCGAAUUUUACUUCUGGAAUCCUAACUCUGUUGACUGGAAAAUAUUUGCUGGAAAAAUUCAGCUCGACAUAAAUGGUUUGGACAAUGGAGAUUCUAUUUGAUCUUCAAAAAGUUUGAAUUUGCUCCUUUUAAGAUGAGGGUAUUGAUUGGAAAUUUUAAUUGAAAAGAUACGGAUAUUAGGUUCUUGUUAGAGAUGGAUUUAUAUUUUCAUAUGAAAAAAAUAAAUUUUCGGGCGAAGAGAUCAAAAUAAACGUGAAACUCUUAACUUUCUUAUUUAGAAAUAAAAUUCUAAAUUUAUAUGAAAUUUUCAGAGACAGAAUUAAACAUAGAUCAACUUAUGAUUAUAAGUGACUACUAAAGUACAAGGUUUCUCGACCCAAGUUGAGAGAGAACCAAUGGACCAUGCAUCUUUAAUUACCUUACAACAACUAUUAUAUAACUCUUAAAUGACACAAUCAAAAGGAUCACCUUAACACCUCUUCAUGCUACCAGGAGCUAAGCUGGAACUUGAAACAUCAUGG